rnacentral:rRNA from 1 species
GACAGAGGAGGCGAGCGUUAUCCGGAGUUAUUGGGCGUAAAGGGUACGUAGGCGGCUGGUCAAGUCUGGGGUUAAAGACCACAGCUUAACUGUGGGGGGGCCUUGGAAACUGACCGGCUGGAGUGGGGCAGGGGUUGCGGGGAUUCCCGGUGUAGCGGUGAAAUGCGUCGAUAUCGGGAAGAACACCUGAUGCGAAAGCGCGCAACUGAGCCCUAACUGACGCUGAGGUACGAAAGCUAGGGGAGCGAAUGGG